AGUCGUUCGUAAUCGUGCCCUAACUUUACCCAAUUUGGUACCGAUUUGUAAAUCACAAUCUCUCCGAUUUGGAUCCAAAAUUCUUCAGAUUUAUUAUUUUGUUCUUCGAUUCGAUUUCUUUUUCGUUCGAUUCGAUUUAAUCUCUAUCGAUUGACCCGGCUCUCGUUUCUUAUUGUUCUGGGAUUUCUAUUCUAGGGUUAGGGUUUCGAAAGUCUCUUAAAACAUUUGAUUCGUUUCGAUUUUGUUUGAUCUGUGAACCUUAGGGUAUCUACUAGCGUUUGAUUGUCCAUAUUUAUCUGGGUCAGCCUUCAUUUCUUGGAUUCUUUGAAAAGUUUGAAACUUUAUCGGGGCUUUCGAAGCUUCGAAUUCUCGAUUUAUUUAUAUUGUGAAAAAUUGGGGAAGAAUUUAUUUGGAGUUUCAGUAUUUUAUCUUCGUAUGUUUUCUAUAUAAUCGUUCAAUAACAAGGAAGCUAGAUUUCUGGUUUUGUAAAUUGGGGUUUUUUAUAUUCGGUUUAUUUGAAUUUUAAUUCGUCCGCCGGUGUUAUUUAUUGAGUUCUUCAGAGGAAGAUUUAGACAAAUUGACUUUUCAGGGAAAAAUGAUUCACAAAAGACGCUUUGCUGAUGAGGACCUUUCGAGUUCCCUCGUAAACACCCAAAACCAUGUGACUACACCAAUCACCUUGCUCCUAUCAUGGAUUUCAAUCCUUGCAAUGAUGCUGGUCUGGAACCUCAAACUUCCGAAGAUGCAGCUAGCCACAGGUUCUGCAAAUGUCCAGAUCAAAAGACAUGUGCAUUUGACUAGAUUACAGAAGUUUCAAAUGGGACUGAUGAGGAAUUUGAAAUAGGUACCUCCGGCUGCAUUUCUCAAUUUCUGUGGGAAAACAGCAGCAUUGCUGAAGCAGAUGCUAAGUUUGAGGCAGCAUUUCAUCUGUCAUUUUUUCCAGAAUAUUUUGCACCUCAACACCAGCUAAGGGCUUUGCUUCAAUCCGGUGAGACUUAUUCAUCUCUUCUUGAAGCUCCUCCUUUGAUUCUAGUUUCUAUUGGACCUUAGCAUCAAGCUGAUGUUCCUGAAUGGAACCCAAGGGGUUCUAAGAGCUUUGUGGAUAAUCUGGAUGUGUCAGGCCAUCCAGUUGAACCUGCACCUUUGCCGGAUUUUAGCCUUGUUGUUGAUGAUGGUGAUGAGGAGAAGCUGAGGGGUACUUGUGUCAUUUCAAUGCCUGAUUAUGAAAGGUCCGCCAAUGAUUGCUCUGAAAGAUGUGGAACCAGAAAUGAUUGUAAAUUCAUUGAUAGGGGGUUCUGUUGAUUGUGUCAGACAACAUGUUAUGGAAGCCAGAGAAAAACUUUGGGAAAACCCUGGGGGAAAGAUAUUUGAGGAGUUAGGUUUCUGUGAAAUGGGAGAGAGGUCUCCAAGAGAUGGGCUGAAGUGGAAGAGCAAGCUUUCCAUGAAGUUGUCUUUUCUAACCCUGCAUUGAUGGGAAAGAAUUUCUGGGAUCAUCUCUCAUUGGUUUUCCCCUCCCGAACAAAGAGGGACCUUGUCAGCUAUUAUUACAAUGUCUUUAUACUACGGAAAUGGGCCAAUCAAAGCAGGUUUGACCCGCACAAUGUUGACAGUGAUAAUGAUGAGUGGCAAAUAAGUGAACAUGAAGCUGGCGCGGCAGAGGAAGAUGAGGGAGAUGGGGAGGGGGAGAUGUGGAUGAUAUAUCUGUACAACAUGUUAAGAACUCCUUUGGUGGCAAUACCGACUUACAUCUUUUGAGUAAAAUUCAAAGCAGUUACAGGGAGGAGGAUGAUGUCCAAGAUGAUUCAUGCACAUCAUAUGAAUUUGAGCAAAUUGAAAGCUGUGACCCACUUUAUACAGGGACUGAUCAAAAGCAGUCUAAUCAAGAUUGAUGCACGUGCUGUAUGUAUUAAAUGUUGUUGGGUUAAUUGAGCAUGAAUAGGUUAUGUUUUGAAUCCUUGCAAUAGUGUAAAGCUUGGAUACUUAUACAAGAGGGAAGGAGUUGAUUUUGUUAAUGAGCGUUCACGUCUGAUCUCCUAAAUUAUAUAUGGCCAUGGUUGGCAUAAAAUAUUGGUGCUGGAAGCCUUUGAGGGAUGGUUGGGAAGGGACUCCCAGAAGGUCCAUGAUUCUGACAAGUAACAGGACUGCAGUUAAAUUUUCUUUGAUUUAAUCUCGUAUCAUCACAAGAAUAAUGUAUUCCAAAUCCAUUUUAUCUUGUAUUUUUGU